rnacentral:tRNA from 1 species
UCCCGAGUAGCUCAGCGGUAGAGCGGUCGGCUGUUAACCGAUUGGCCGAAGGUUCGAAUCCUUCCUCGGGAGCCA